GCUAGUAAUGGCAGGUCAGCAUACUGCCGUGAAUACGUUCCCGGGCCUUGUACACACCGCCCGUCACACCAUGAGAGUUGGAAUACCCGAAGCCUGUGAGCUAACUAAUAGAGGCAGCAGUCGAAGGUAGAAUCAAUGAUUGGGGUGAAGUCGUAACAAGGUACC
rnacentral:rRNA from 1 species